UACGAAGGGGGCUAGCGUUGUUCGGAAUUACUGGGCGUAAAGCGCACGUAGGCGGCUUUCUAAGUCAGGGGUGAAAUCCUGGAGCUCAACUCCAGAACUGCCUUUGAUACUGGAGAGCUUGAGUCCGGAAGAGGUGAGUGGAACUCCGAGUGUAGAGGUGAAAUUCGUAGAUAUUCGGAAGAACACCAGUGGCGAAGGCGGCUCACUGGUCCGGUACUGACGCUGAGGUGCGAAAGCGUGGGGAGCAAACAGG
rnacentral:rRNA from 1 species